rnacentral:tRNA from 1 species
GGGUCUGUAGCUUAAUUGGAAAAGCACCUAGCUGGCUGCUAGGAAAAUGUCGGUUCAAAUCCGACCAGAAUCCACCA